rnacentral:tRNA from 1 species
CGCAAGUUAGUAUACUUAAAUACUUUUGGCUUAGGAUCAAAAAAAAAGAAGACAACCCUUACUUGCCA